AGAAUCAACGCUGGCGGCGUGCCUAACACAUGCAAGUCGAACGCGAAAGUCCCGCAAGGGAUGAGUAGAGUGGCAAACGGGUGAGUAACACGUGGGUGACCUGCCUUCGAGUGGGGGAUAACGUCCCGAAAGGGACGCUAAUACCGCUUAAUAUGCCGCCUUUUAACAGGUGGACAUCAAAGCUGGGGAUCGCAAGACCUAGCGCUUGAAGAGGGGCCCGCGUCUGAUUAGCUAGUUGGUGGGGUAAUGGCUCACCAAGGCCACGAUCAGUA
rnacentral:rRNA from 1 species